GGCAUGGUUGUCAGCAUAUGGUUGGGGAGCUUUAGUUCAGCACGCUCUUUCUUCAUACCCUGUAGUUAGGUGUCAUAGAAAGAGUGGAGGCAUUGAGUGAACAUGUUAAAACAGGUUUCUCCCAAGAGCAGGAGGUCAGUGUCUUUCUCUCUCUCUCUCUAUCGUUCUCCUUCCCUCUUUCAUCACCAGACCACCCUGCUGAACACAAUUACACCCACAGCAAGCUCUUGGCCUGAACCCCCACCUUGCCACAGGGCCGGUCACAACACAUGCUGGUGAUAGCUCUCCUGUAGUACAGCUUCACAUUUCUGUAGAGGAGACUGAUAUUCAAGGCUGCAUCACAUUACAGUCUACAAAAACAUUCAACCAUGUUCUCGACUAAUGUAAAAACAAUUCCAGCUUUAUACAGAGUUUGACCAUGUCAGCAGAGGAGCAUUAAAGUAAACAGCUUCUUGCACUGACUGGCCACUACCAGGAAAAUGACUUGCCAGUGUUUGGCAGAUUAACAGAGAGCCCCCUAAUGGAGUAAUUACAGAGACCCAAACAUCUAUUUUUCACCAGUGAACUGCCAUUACUCUCCGGUCCCCCCAGCCACUCAAUUGAAAGUCACUUACACUCCUUACAAUGAGUUAUCAUUGACUGCCAUUUAGGCGUUCUGGAGCAAUUUGUCUUACUGAGGCCAUGUGCUGGUCUCAUUGCAGCGAAGAAUCAUUCUUUCUCCAAUAUAUCAAACAUUCAAGAUGAAAAAAGGAGCAAACACCCCACAAACAGAUAGCGGUAUGUCGCUAAUAGAUACUUUGAAGGAAGGAGACAAGAAAAAAUGAAUGUAGAUAAAAGUGGAGGAUGAAGUGGAGGUGCUGCCAUGAAGAUUGCUCCCCUCGUGGAAACUCCCACCUUCUCUGUGCAGCAGGCCAUCCAGGGUCUCAUCAGCCCCCGUGAUUAAGAUUUGGCACCUUGGACCACAUUGUCUUCAUUUGGAAAUAUUUCAGCCGCAUUCGUGCCACUCAGAGGGGAAAGCGAAAGAAAGGAGGAGUAGGGGAAAACACACCCUGUUGUGUGAAUCCUGGAGAAGGCCUUGAACCCUGCCAUUCAUACCAUUCACUUCAUCAGCUGAGUCUAAUUGCCAGAGAGGACAGGAGACCCCAGGGCCGAUUGUUCCUUAUCCUCUUUGGAGCCUUCUGAGGCAUGAAAAGUGAAAGGCCUGCUUUUGAUCUUUUUUUUCUCUAUCCCUUACACUCUCUGUCCAUCUCUCUCUCCUGAUUUGCUUUCUCUUUUCUGUCAUCCCUGCUAUCCUUUCCCUCUGAGUGACACCCUCCUUUCACACUAUGUGCCCUCUUCUCCAUCCACGCAAAAUAAUUAUCAAGCGCCGCUUCAUCAAAUAAUGCCUGAGAUGGGAGGUCAUGGCAGGGAGGGCCAGAGGUCUGAAGAGGAUUGAAUCCUUGAUCCAAGGAGAAGCUCCAAGCUCAUCUUAGCAGCAUGCUCCUUAGCUCACGGCAUCUUUAUGUACCAUGACCCCGGGUUUUCGUUCGCCUCUCUUAAUGAGACCUUCCAGCUCAGCCGAUGGAGUCUCUAUCUGAGACUGGGAGGCCAGACUACAAAUAAGACACGGGGGCCGCACUCAAACAAGGGAGCAUCUGUGCACGUCUUAUUAGGGCACAGCAAAGAGCUCACUCUUCUAAGGGUUCCACCAAAACCAAGAACAUAUCUAUUGACACCUACUUGUCCCUCAGUGGUCAGUAUCUUUCAGACGAAGCACAGACUUCACACACACUAGGUCUUGAGAGAAGUAAUUUUAGAGAACUUUUGAAGAGCCAAGUGGUUAACUCAUUAUAGGUAGAAUUGCAUAAGCAAACGAACAAUGAUAAACAACAAAAUUCCUUAUACUAAGACCUGAAAAAGUGCAUGAGGUCUGAAAAAAAAAGUCCUUCACAUGAAUGUGCAGAACAAGGGCCCAGACACUCAGAUGCUGAGCUCAACCAUUCUUAGCAACAUUCAUUAUCAGAAUUGUUGAGAAAUGGAGUGGGAAUUUUGUUCUCAAUGUGUCUAAAAAGUUUGUAUGAUAUGUACAAGUGGCCUGUUAGUCUUGGUUAUUAUUUCCAAAAGUGCUUGGGCAGUAAGUAGUGAUUCAGAAAUGUAAAGGCAUGCACAACAAUAACUGAGUACUUUAAAGAAGUUUGUUUUUAUAAAACAAGCACAAUACCUUUUUUGAAAUUCUAGAUUUGCAUACAAAGUGAAAAAGUUGCAUGUGAAAUAAAAUAACCUGUUUUGAUUUCUUACUAUAAAACUGUGCUCGGUCUUUAUAUUUAUUUAAUUUAAGCAAUAGCCUAAAUAUAAAAAAGGUGUUUAUUAUGAAUUCUUCACAGUUUUUUCAAAGUUAUUUAAGUUUUCUCAGUAAUUGAGAAGUGUAGCUGCAUUGCUAUAGAACACAAUUUACAGGAAUUUACUCUCAUAAAAAAGCAAAUAUGUGUUGCAAACCAACUCAUAAUAUUAUCCACAAUAGAGAAGCAUUUAUUUGAUAAAUUCUGGCUUGUUUUUUUUUUUUUUUUUGAAUAUUCAAAAGACAUAAAAUGCCAACAUUGGAAAUCAGUAAACGAAUUCUGGCCUUGUCCGCACAAACACUAAAAAAACUAAUUUAAAAAAUUGUAUCAUUAUCCAUGGAAUAAAAGUAUGAUGUAAAGAGGAAAAGGUAAGAGUGUCUAAUAUUACACAGUAGAUUAUGUGGCUCAUGUGCCAGCCAAAACAUUACAAUCAAUAUGCACAUAAAUAAAGAAGACUGUGUUGCUAACUACUAAUGUGUUGUUAAUAAAUGAUGAAGAGAAGACAAAUGUAAAUACAAAAAAAAAAGAAAUGAACUAGUGGAAGCUUUUGCCCAAGGGGACAGACUGUUGCAAAUAAAAAUCAGGAUACGCCAGUU